AACGGAUAAAAGGUACGCCGGGGAUAACAGGCUGAUACCACCCAAGAGUUCAUAUCGACGGUGGUGUUUGGCACCUCGAUGUCGGCUCAUCUCAUCCUGGGGCUGAAGCAGGUCCCAAGGGUAUGGCUGUUCGCCAUUUAAAGAGGUACGUGAGCUGGGUUUAAAACGUCGUGAGACAGUUUGGUCCCUAUCUUCCGUGGGCGCUGCAGAUUUGAGGGAGCCUGCUCCUAGUACGAGAGGACCGGAGUGGACGCAUCUCUGGUGUACCGAUUAUCACGCCAGUGGUAUAGUCGGGUAGCUAAAUGCGGAAGAGAUAAACGCUGAAAGCAUCUAAGCGUGAAACUCGCCUUAAGAUGAGAUUUCCCUGGGGGUUUAACCCCCCUAAAGAGUCGUUCGAGACCAGGACGUUGAUAGGUCAGGUGUGGAAGUGCUGUAAGGCAUGAAGCUAACUGAUACUAAUUGCUCGUGAGGCUUG
rnacentral:rRNA from 11 species